rnacentral:rRNA from 1 species
AGAGUUUGAUCCUGGCUCAGGAUGAACGCUAGCGGCAGGCUUAACACAUGCAAGUCGAGGGGUAAAGUCUCUUCGGAGAUACACGACCGGCGCACGGGUGAGUAACGCGUAUGCAAUCUACCUCUAACUAAGGGAUAGCCCAGGGAAACUUGGAUUAAUACCUUAUAGUUUUUGAUUACCACAUGGUAAUCUUCAUAAAACUCCGGUGGUUAGAGAUGAGCAUGCGUCCCAUUAGAUAGUUGGUAAAGUAACGGCUUACCAAGUCAGCGAUGGGUACGGGGUCUAAAAGCAUGGUCCCGCACACUGGUACUGAGACACGGACCAGACUCCUACGGGAGGCAGCAGUGAGGAAUAUUGGGCAAUGGAGGCAACUCUGACCCAGCCAUGCCGCGUGAAGGAUGACUGCCCUACGGGUUGUAAACUUCUUUUGUUCGUUAGGAAAUGGGUUACUUGUGGCUCUAUGACCGACGUUCGAAUCAGCAUCGGCUAACUCCGUGCCAGCAGCCGCGGUAAUACGGAGGAUGCAAGCGUUAUCCGGAUUUAUUAGGUUUAAAGGGUGUGUAGGCGGAAAUUUAAGUCAGUGGUGAAAGCCUGCAGCUUAACUGUAGAAUUGCCAUUGAUACUGAAUUUCUUGAGUACAGAUGAGGUAGGCGGAAUGUGUAAUGUAGCGGUGAAAUGCUUAGAGAUUACACAGAACACCGAUUGCGUAGGCAGCUUACUAAUCUGUAACUGACGCUGAUGCACGAAAGCGUGGGUAGCGAACAGGAUUAGAUACCCUGGUAGUCCACGCUGUAAACGAUGAUCACUCGUUGUAUGCCUUUUUUGGUAUGUGACUGAGCGAAAGCAUUAAGUGAUCCACCUGGGGAGUACGUUGGCAACAAUGAAACUCAAAGGAAUUGACGGGGGCCCGCACAAGCGGAGGAACAUGUGGUUUAAUUCGAUGAUACGCGAGGAACCUUACCUGGGCUUAAAUGAUGUUUGACGAUUUAUGAAAAUAGAUUUCUCUUCGGAGCAAAUAUUAAGGUGCUGCAUGGUUGUCGUCAGCUCGUGCCGUGAGGUGUCGGGUUAAGUCCCAUAACGAGCGCAACCCUUAUCAUUAGUUACCAUCAGGUUAAGCUGGGGACUCUAAUGAGACUGCCACCGUAAGGUGAGAGGAAGGUGGGGAUGACGUCAAAUCAGCACGGCCCUUAUGUCCAGGGCUACACACGUGUUACAAUGGUCGGUACAAAGGGCAGCUACCUGGUGACAGGAUGCUAAUCUCUAAAGCCGAUCUCAGUUCGGAUCGAAGUCUGCAACCCGACUUCGUGAAGUUGGAUUCGCUAGUAAUCGGAUAUCAGCCAUGAUCCGGUGAAUACGUUCCCGGGCCUUGUACACACCGCCCGUCAAGCCAUGGAAGC